GGGGAUUUAGCUCAGCGGCAUAAGCGCCUGCCUUGCAAGCAGGCAGUCAUGAGGUUUGAUCCCCG
rnacentral:tRNA from 1 species